GACGAACGCUGGCGGCGUGUUUAACACAUGCAAGUCGAACGGAAAGGCCCUGCUUUUGUGGGGUGCUCGAGUGGCGAACGGGUGAGUAACACGUGAGUAACCUGCCCUUGACUUUGGGAUAACUUCAGGAAACUGGGGCUAAUACCGGAUAGGAGCUCCUGCUGCAUGGUGGGGGUUGGAAAGUUUCGGCGGUUGGGGAUGGACUCGCGGCUUAUCAGCUUGUUGGUGGGGUAGUGGCUUACCAAGGCUUUGACGGGUAGCCGGCCUGAGAGGGUGACCGGCCACAUUGGGACUGAGAUACGGCCCAGACUACUACGGGAGGCAGCAGUGGGGAAUAUUGCACAAUGGGCGGAAGCCUGAUGCAGCAACGCCGCGUGCGGGAUGACGGCCUUCGGGUUGUAAACCGCUUUCGCCUGUGACGAAGCGUGAGUGACGGUAAUGGGUAAAGAAGCACCGGCUAACUACGUG
rnacentral:rRNA from 1 species